CAAAUCAGGUAGGACUACCCGCUGAACUUAAGCAUAUCAAUAAGCGGAGGAAAAGAAACUAACAAGGAUUCCCCUAGUAACUGCGAGUGAAGCGGGAAAAGCUCAAAUUUAAAAUCUGGCGGUCCUUGUGGCUGUCCGAGUUGUAAUCUAGAGAAGUGCUAUCCGCGCUGGACCGUGUACAAGUCUCCUGGAACGGAGCGUCAUAGAGGGUGAGAAUCCCGUCUUUGACACGGACUACCAGGGCUUUGUGAUGUGCUCUCAAAGAGUCGAGUUGUUUGGGAAUGCAGCUCUAAAUGGGUGGUAAAUUCCAUCUAAAGCUAAAUAUUGGCGAGAGACCGAUAGCGAACAAGUACCGUGAGGGAAAGAUGAAAAGAACUUUGGAAAGAGAGUUAAACAGUACGUGAAAUUGUUGAAAGGGAAACGCUUGAAGUCAGUCGCGUUGGCCGGGGAUCAACCUUGCUCUUUUGCUUGGCGUACUUUCCGGUCGACGGGUCAGCAUCAAUUUUGACCGGUGGAUAAAGGUCAGGGGAAUGUGGCAUCUUCGGAUGUGUUAUAGCCCUUGGUCGCAUACAUCGAUUGGGAUUGAGGAACUCAGCACGCCGCAAGGCCGG
rnacentral:rRNA from 1 species